rnacentral:lncRNA from 1 species
CCCCCCACCGCCGUGUGCCUGCUCUGUCCCCGGGGCCCCAGGGAAGACCUGUGAAAGGCGGAGGUGGAGGGGACAAAGUGAGCGAGGGCCCUGCUGUGGCCUCCAUGUUCUCAGGACCCCAAAUUCCCAAGAAACUGUCUGAAAACCCCCAGAUUCCCGCUGUGUACGGGUGUCGGGCGAAAAGCAAAUCCAGAAGAAGGCAAGCAGUCUGCACCUAAGACUGUGGCAGCUCCGAGGGGCCCCACUUUGCACGCGAACGUCCUCCGAAUGCAGACAGAAGGCAGCGGGAGAAACACCCACGGACCGGACGGACAGCCAGAGAACUUCCUGGUCUCCCUUCUGAUUCGCGUUCCCAGAUGCUGAAAAGGAAGCUAGAACAUAGAGUAACCUCUAAUUCUUCUUCCUUCCAGUCUUCCCCCUCUCAUCGGGGAGCGGGAGGCAGAGUGUUGGCAGAACGCGCGUGUCUCAAGAAGUGAAAUAAAAACAGCCGAGCUCGGUUGGAGCA